GCAGCCCCGCGGUAAUACGUAGGUGGCAAGCGUUAUCCGGAAUUAUUGGGCGUAAAGCGCGCGCAGGUGGUUUCUUAAGUCUGAUGUGAAAGCCCACGGCUCAACCGUGGAGGGUCAUUGGAAACUGGGAGACUUGAGUGCAGAAGAGGAAAGUGGAAUUCCAUGUGUAGCGGUGAAAUGCGUAGAGAUAUGGAGGAACACCAGUGGCGAAGGCGACUUUCUGGUCUGUAACUGACACUGAGGCGCGAAAGCGUGGGGAGCAAACAGGAUUAGAUACCCUGGUAGUCCACGCCGUAAACGAUGAGUGCUAAGUGUUAGAGGGUUUCCGCCCUUUAGUGCUGAAGUUAACGCAUUAAGCACUC
rnacentral:rRNA from 1 species